CCACUGGGGUUCCCUCGGGGUCCUCAUUGUCCGCUGUCCUCUGUCUUUCUACCUUUUUCCUUCAUCCCUCCUGUAUCUGCUCCUCAUCCCUCGUUGUCUCCUCUGUUCACUCCCAGCCCCUUUGUCCCUCCGGUUGGUAUUCCCCCUGUCUCCCUUUCUGGUUUGCCUGUCUGUGUUUACUGUUUUGUGUCAGGUUUUGUCCUACUUCUUGUCCCUGUGCCUGUUCUGUGUGUACGUCCUGUUUCUGGUCUCCUGUUGAUGUUUUUUGCUUUUGUUUUUCAGGUCCCGCAUCCCCGGUCCUGUCUGAUCCGUUGCCUCCCCUGAGGCACGCCUAGAGUGCACGCUUUUGGGGGGGGGGGGGUUCUGUCAUGACCUGCAUGUACGAACCUCUUGUGUGCCACGCCCCCUUAUUAACCACAUGUGCAACCCCGAUUUUGACCAGCUAUUCUCUCUCAGUUUGAUUCAUCUGGUGUAUUUAAGUCCACGUCAGUGUCUGUAACCCUAAGUCUGUCAUUGAAGUGUGUCCCGUGUUGUUCCGCAUUUCCACAAUAAAACCCCAUUUUUGGACUCCCAUUUCCUGUACCUGAUUCCCCACUCCCUGCUCGUGCAACUGGACGUCACAAUGACUUUGUAUGUCAAAAUAACAUUUCAAGAUACUAAUCACAAAUCAGUAAACUAACUUUACCUAAAAAUGUUGAAUGCUAAGAUGGAAAUUUUUCAGCGGUACAAUUUACUGUACCAAAUACGUUAGCCACUGAAACUAGUUGUGAAAUGUAUGUAUUUUACAAAUUGGAGCGUAGCAGAGAUCGAUAUCGGGGAGAAGCUCUGUGUUUUGCCAGAAAAGAGUGGAUGUUUCAUUUUGUGCAACUAUUCCUGUGAAGAAAUUUGAGUUGAAAAAAGUGAAGCACAAGGGCGACACAAACCAACACUAAUUUUGAGAUAACUGGUCUGAGAUACGUAGGAUCAGAGAAAUUGGACGAUGUGACCAAAGGAGCAGAACUAAACUCUUGUACCUUUAUUAUCUUGACAGGUAAAUUUGUUUAAGUCAACCAAAACAUUAAAAACUAAACAAUUCCUCUAAUUAACAGGGGUAUCCCAAUACUUUUGUCCAUAUAGUGUAUAUUAAUCUCAACAAAUGAAUAUGUGAGUGUUCUUUUUCCUGUACAUGAAUGUUUAGAAAUAUAAAACUAUAUUUAUUUAUACGUAUGUUUCACUAGUUUUGUUGGUAUUUCAUUAGUGGAUUUUCCACUAAACACUACUUCCACCUCUAAAAACUUUUUUUUUUUUUUUACAAAGAUUGAAAAUCACCGUUGUUAAAAGCAUAAAAUGCAGUACUUCCAAAUUGUCACCCUUGUAUCUGAUGUUCUUAUGCUCACAUUCUACUGCAAAGGUUAUGCACAUGACGUCUCAGCAGGUAGCAGUCACCACGCUCACACCCACUGAAUGGCAAAAACUGAGUGGCAGUGUUUGAAUGUAUUGAAUGUUACGAAAAAAACACAUCUAAAAUGGGAAAGAGCUGUUGUGCAAUUGGUUGUACAAAUCGAUUUAACAAGAAAUAGGAGCUAUCUUUUACGAAACUGCUGAAAACUAAAUAAGUAAGUAUCGGACUUGGAUCGGUCAUAUAUGGCCAAUACCUGAUCCGUCUAAUAGGUAAGGACUGGUGGUGAUGCCGAUCCGAUUGCACCUCUAUUCGAAACAUGGUUUACUGGCUACUUGGCUCAGGCUUCCAUUGGCUUCCUAGCAGUUGCAAAUGGUAAUUUUUAAAAUGGACAGUGUGUGGACAGUUGACAAUAUGACCAAUUUUAGUUGGUCAGAUAUUUAUAUGUAAAAUUGUGCUCUCCUUCAUCAAGCUCACUCAGCUGGCUUUCUGAACCUGUGUAUUACUGGCCCUUCUACCAUGGACACCAAUAAAUUACACCGCAAGGGAGGAGCUUAAGUGGAGUGUACCAGGCAGGAAUCUCCACUUUAAUACAUUAUACAGAACAAGCAUUAAAUACUGUAUCCUAUAUAUGUUGACCAAUUUGUUUUGCAACACAACAGAGUUUGACCGAAUGACAAUUAUCUCCAUCUUAUCACUGUUAAGUUUGAGAAAAUUGAGGCUCAUCCAUAAUUUUAUUUCAGAAAUGCAUGAUUUGACAUCUGCUAGUGGCAGGUUGUUUGUGAAGCUGAUACUGAAGUAGAUCUGGAUGUCAUCAGCAUUGAGGUGAAAAUUUAGGUUGAAGCGACCAAUGAUCAGGCCUACGGGAUGAGUGAUAAAGAGCAGCAACCCUAUAAGAGAGCCCUGGUGGAUGCCAUCCUUGAUACCUGCUAAGUAUGAUUUAUAACCAGAUAGGGUAAUAAGAUGUUUUCUGUCUGUGAGAUAUGAAAUAAACCAAGCACUGCCUCACAAAUACCUAGGUUUAGUUUCUGAAUCAGAAAAGGGUGUGUGAUUGUGUCAAAGGCCGUGCUUAAAUCAAGCAAAGGUAGGAGGCUUACAGUACCCACGUCAUUUGCGAAAUGUAGAUCACAGUCUACAUGGUGUAACAAAGGGCUAGGAAUAGAUCUAGCCACCCAACUAGAUAUGGGUAACCUUUUGGACAAGAGAAGAAAUUCCUGUUUUUAUUUGCAUAUGUUCUAGUAGUAAGUUGUGUUUUUUUUCCUAGGAAGAUAUGCACUCGUCACCCAGGAAAACAGUCUUAAACAUUUUCUUUUGCCUAAGUAAGCACAGUACCUGUAUGAUCAGCAAACUCUGUGGUGUUUUUACAUCCUCAGGUUUCUUCACUAACAUCUUUAGCAUUGUGCUGGCUGCUGACUGCAGAGCCAGCAGGUUGAAUAGCUGGUUGGCCAACUGAUUGUGUUUCUCUGUGUUUGGCCUGCCCCACAUGCCCUUUCACCCACUUAGGCCGAUUGUGCCAGGAGCCAGGAGGAGCCAAACAACAUCCACUUGCACAGGUGGGGUUAGGUGCAUGUCCCGAGGAGCAUGUGGGGGCCCUGACCAGGUGCAAAGAUACACCCUAUCAGCACCAGCUUCAUGCUCCCGCAGGAGGAAAGCUGCUGAAGACACAUACUGAGCCGUCAUUCCCAGAAGAGGAGGAAGAUGAUAUGUGUGCUUAGGCGCUCAUCAGUGGACAGCGCCUCCUAGAAGAGUAUCAGAGUGUCAGCAGCCCCGCGCUUCCUUUCUGCACUGAGUGGGUCACAGUGGAUCGAUAAUGGAUUCCAGGCCCCUUUUUUUCUGCCUUUUCUGAGCUUUUUCCCUGCUCUCCAGCUGGAGGGAGUGAGAGGGCCCCCAACUGAAGGGCCACUGGCACCUUAAGUGAUGACCUGAAUGCCAUUAAUGUUUAUUAGUAUUAACCACAUCUGUUCUUUUGGGAUUCAUUUUGAAUCAACUAACCCAAAGAGAGACAUCAGAGAUCCCCAGCCAUAUGAAUGUUGCUCUUUUUCCCAGCAUGCAUUGCACCCAGCAUCAUGCAACCCUCUUCGAGGUAUCAGUGCCCUCAGGUCUACCUGAUAAACUGUCACAAGGCAGCAGGUUCAGGCUAAAUGCAUACUGUCAGCUUCAAGCUCUGCAUCAAGCCUGAGCAGCUUCUGACAGGCUUUCAGUAUAAGAGUUACUGCUCAUUCGCAGCUCUAUCCUGGGGUCAUUUUAUACUAUCUCUUUGUACAUGUUCUGCCUUUUUAACAUGAAAUAAAUGUCUGUUCUCUGAA